rnacentral:rRNA from 1 species
UGGGGAAUAUUGGACAAUGGGCGAAAGCCUGAUCCAGCAAUUCCGCGUGGGUGAAGAAGGUCUUCGGAUUGUAAAGCCCUUUCGGCAGGGACGAUGAUGACGGUACCUGCAGAAGAAGCCCCGGCUAACUUCGUGCCAGCAGCCGCGGUAAUACGAAGGGGGCUAGCGUUGCUCGGAAUGACUGGGCGUAAAGGGCGCGUAGGCGGCGCACAUAGUCAGGCGUGAAAUUCCCGGGCUUAACCUGGGGGCUGCGCUUGAUACGUGUGUGCUUGAGGGUGAGAGAGGCUCGUGGAAUUCCCAGUGUAGAGGUGAAAUUCGUAGAUAUUGGGAAGAACACCGGUGGCGAAGGCGGCGAGCUGGCUCAUUUCUGACGCUGAGGCGCGAAAGCGUGGGGAGCAAA